GGGCCCGUGGCCAAGCCAGGAUAAAGGCGUCGGCCUCCGGAGCCGAAGACCCUGGGUUCAAAUCCCAGCGGGCCCG
rnacentral:tRNA from 1 species